rnacentral:lncRNA from 1 species
AUCUGGCUUCGAUUUUUUACCCUCCAGAGGCAAAUAAUCUAAUUAUUUAUUCAAUAUCAUAUAUAUGUCUGUAUCAGAAAACAGAAUAAAAGUGUAAAAUAACACGUGUCAUAAUCUCGUGUUAACGAAGUCAUUUAUAGUUCAAUAGAGUUUACACCUGUGUUAACGAUUAUUAGAUAAAAAUAUAACAAUAUUAAAUGUCUAUUAUUAAUAUCGAAAGUCCGUAUUAACAUAGAAGAAUCAUAUGCUUCAGUCAAGGUAUCGUUCUCAAAUAAGGUUGAAAGCAAUGAAACCGAAUAUUAAAAAAAUGAAAUUCUGUUUAUGCUACGUCAAUUGACCGGCUGUAUUUGCGUCUGUUACGUACGUAAACACAAUUACAACGUUGUAGAUAUAUGAGAGAACAAUGCACUGCGUCAUCGCAUAAAAAAACCGACAGACAAAACGGCAGACGUUAAUAACGAAUGCCAAACAUUUGGCUUCCAGGAACGAUCUACAUUAAGUCCAAGGGCUUUGAAGAUUCGUGGUACAGCACUACCGUAUUCUGUACUCCUGAUCAACAGACGCUGACCUCACACUGUUAGCGAAUGGCUGACGAAAUGUUGCGAGAUAUUUCAACAUUUUAAAAAACCUAUUGUUUUACAAUUAAUUUUAAAUCCCAAGAUUGUAAAAAUACGACGUCGUCUUCCGUCAAGUAUUAUUCAAAGUUAUCUAUGCAAUAUUUUUUUCUCAGUCAUUAUUUUUUACACAAAUGUAUUUAAAAUUGUAAUUAAGUAACGUAAUCACGGUUUUAGUGUGUAAAGAAUAAAAGAGGAACUUAAGGAUAGAAUUGAAAUGUAAAAUGGUGUCUGAUAGAGAUUAAAAGUAUAAUUAAAUAUAAUAAGAAAAUUAUAAUAACAUGAUACAAGUGAUUUAAUACAGUGUUUCAUACAUUAGUAAUUAAUACUACUAAUUAUGUUAAACCAAACAGAAAAAAAUUGAAACAUGUUGUGUACCACGACCGAAAUUCUUAUCUUUAAAUAUUGUUUUCGUUUGUCACUGAUUUACAUUUACAUCUUGUUUAUGGUUGCAAAUUCCGACAAACUUGUGUAAUAUUCUUGUACAAAUCUCGUAAACAGCGAUAUUAUAUUACCGGACAAGAAUUACAACAGUGACGUAAAUUAAUCUGGUUACUGUUUUCAAUUUACCGGUAGCAAAGUCGAAAAUAUUUGUAUACUGUAUAAGAAUGUUGCAUAAAAGCUUCGAGAGAGCAUAGAAAGAUGUCUAUCGUUGAAAUUAUUACCGAAGGUAAUAUCCACAAGUAUUAACCGAAAUAUCUACAUUCUAAAUCACAUUCAUCGCAACGAACUUUUUCACUGUUUUAAAUACGUCGUGUUGCGAAAGGACGAGUAACAACGAAACAAUAAAUUCAAUGCCAUCAUCACGAACUAUCGCAUAAUUCGUAACUUUUUUGUCUGCAAUGCGAAAUCGACUGUGCAAAGGGAAAUCUGCACAACGCAUGCGUCGGAAAAUUAUUGGCUCUUAUCGCGCAUGUGUAGAUAAAUCAAGCAGUUCGGGAAGGGGCUGCGUUACAGUGGGGAGAGGUGCUGGAAACAGCUGGGAAACUAUCAAGGUCAUUUUGAAUGACAACUACUCUACGUCACACC